CCUCUCAGCUUCGCACAAUCAUCUCUGUGUUCGGGGGAAAGGCCUGUCACAGCCACCUUCAGAAAGAUAGAAGGAGUACCCAUAACACAGAGGAGACGGCUGCAGUGCUGGUAUUAUGUCAUAUGUUGGAUUAAGUUGACAAGUGCUGAAAGUCCCUGGUUCACCGAUCGGUCCUUGGAAGUCUUGAUCCAAGCCCAAGCGGGGGGCUGAAGAGUGACGUCCAUCCUCGCGCUGAAGACUGGAUCCAAGCGGCAGCUGAAGAAAUCCAUCAUCGGGCUGAAGUCAGAAGUCCAUCAUCGGGAUGAAGUCUUCUAUCAAGCCGCAUCUUCAAUCUUCUUUCUUCUGGAGCGGAGCGGAGCCAUCUUCUUCCAAGCAGGACGAUGCUUCAUGCCCCACAGCCAAGUCAACUAAGGUGUGUAUGGAGGACCAUCAGAUCAAGACCCUGUCAUGGCCAGCCCAAUCUCCAGACCUGAACCCCAUUGAAAACCUCUGGAAUGUGAUCAAGAGGAAGAUAGAUGGUCACCAGCCAUCAAACAAAGUCAAGCAACUUGAGUUUUUGCACCAGGAGUGACAUAAAGUCACCCAAUAGUUUGCCAAUAAUGAUAGCCGAUAUUGUCAGUUUGUUAUUUCAGCGAUCACAAAUACGUCUUCAGAUGAUAACCCUCAAGCACAAAGUCAAUAACUCCCCAAAAAACACAGAAAUCAUUUAAAAAUGGUGAUUUCCUGAGUUUAGCAAUUACUGCAGGGGGCGGCAUUGCACAAGCAGUUCACCAGAACUGCUUGUGCAAUGAUAAAUGCCGACAGCGUAUGUCUGGUGGACAUGAUCUGCUACAGCGGUGUAGAUAUACAUAGAAAAUGGCUGAUUAUAAAUGCCGGAACAUAGAAACAGGCUCAUCUGCAGCAGAUAAUUAGCAAACAGAUUGCGAUCAACCUCAUAGUUCUUAUUUAAUUUUGAGCAAUUUAUUGAAGUCUUAUGACCGUAAACAUAUUAUAAACUGUUUUGAAACAAUGCUAGUCAUAAAAGCCAAUAAAGUGCCUAUCUCAUGCCUAAAUUGCUAAAGACAAUAAUCUUGAACCUUCUGAAUUCCUAGGUGACUAAUCCAUUUCAAAGUUCCCUUUGUUCCAUGUCCAGUAAUAUAUACCAUGUACUUUCCCAGAGCUGUAAAACUAAAUCUAGCAGGAA